rnacentral:rRNA from 1 species
CAGUCGCCGCGGUAAUACGUAGGUGGCGAGCGUUGUCCGGAAUUAUUGGGCGUAAAGGGCUCGCAGGCGGUUUCUUAAGUCUGAUGUGAAAGCCCCCGGCUCAACCGGGGAGGGUCAUUGGAAACUGGGAAACUUGAGUGCAGAAGAGGAGAGUGGAAUUCCACGUGUAGCGGUGAAUGCGUAGAGAUGUGGAGGAACACCAGUGGCGAAGGCGACUCUCUGGUCUGUAACUGACGCCGAGGAGCGAAAGCGUGGGGAGCGAACAGGAUUAGAUACCCCCGUAGUCCCUGUCUCUUAUACC